rnacentral:rRNA from 1 species
GAUGAACGCUGGCGGCGUGCCUAACACAUGCAAGUCGAACGAAGCACCUUACCUUAUUCUUCGUAUUAAAGUGUCGUGCCUGUGUGGCGCACGGGUGUGUAACGCGUUGGUAACUGGCAUUGCUUCGGGGGAUAACAGCUGGAAACGGCUACUAAUACCUCAUACGCGGACGGGGAGGCAUCUCCUCGGCGGUAAGAGUUCGUGGGUACAGGUUGGGCCCGCGUCUGAUUAGCUGGUGGGCAGGGUACCUGCCCACCAAGGCAACGAGCAGUAGCCGGUCGGGGAGGAGGCCCGGCUAGAUUGGAGCUGAGACACGGUCUCAAAUGGUACGCGAGGGAGGAGUGGGGAAUAUUGCAGAAUGGGGGAAGACGUGAUGAAGCAACGUGGGGUGAGUGAAGAAGUAGUUCGGUAUGUAAAGCUCCAUCAGCAGGGGAGAUAAUGACGGUACCUGAUUAAGAAGCUCCGGCUAACUACGUG